rnacentral:rRNA from 1 species
AACGAACGCUGGCGGCAUGCCUAACACAUGCAAGUCGAACGAGAUCUUCGGGUCUAGUGGCGCACGGGUGCGUGACGCGUGGGAAUCUGCCCUUUGGUUCGGAAUAACAGUUGGAAACGACUGCUAAUACCGGAUGAUGACGAAAGUCCAAGGAUUUAUCGCCAGAGGAUGAGCCCGCGUAGGAUUAGCUAGUUGGUGUGGUAAAGGCGCACCAAGGCGACGAUCCUUAGCUGGUCUGAGAGGAUGAUCAGCCACGCUGGGACUGAGACACGGCCCAGACUCCUACGGGAGGCAGCAGUGGGGAAUAUUGGACAAUGGGCGAAAGCCUGAUCCAGCAAUGCCGCGUGAGUGAUGAAGGCCUUAGGGUUGUAAAGCUCUUUUACCCGGGAUGAUAAUGACAGUACCGGGAGAAUAAGCUCCGGCUAACUCCGUGCCAGCAGCCGCAGUAA